CCAUGAAUGACAUUUUGCAGAUCUGCAUUUGAUCUCCAAUCAUUAUCAACUUGUUGAUCAAGUUCCAUGCUGUCAAGACAAGGGCCCUUUGAUUGAAGAGGUUCACUGACAUCAUCCCCAGUCGUUGUGGUUUGGUUUUUAGCACCCUUCUUCGUAUGCUUCUUCUUUAGCUUUUCACUGUUCCCAUGAAUAAAAGAAUAAGUCACUAUUGUUCAAGAGAUCC